rnacentral:rRNA from 1 species
GAUGAACGCUGGCGGCGUGCCUAAUACAUGCAAGUCGAGCGAACGGACGAGAAGCUUGCUUCUCUGAUGUUAGCGGCGGACGGGUGAGUAACAUGUGGAUAACCUACCUAUAAGACUGGAAUAACUUCGGAAACCCGGAGCUAAUCCCGGAUAAUAUUUUGAACCGCAUGGUUCCAUAGUGAAAGACGGUCUUGCUGUCACUUAUAGAUGGAUCCGCGCUGCAUUAGCUAGUUGGUAAGGUAACGGCUUACCAAGGCAACGAUGCAUAGCCGACCUGAGAGGGUGAUCGGCCACAUGGGAACUGAGACACGGUCCAGACUCCUACGGGAGGCAGCAGUAGGGAAUCUUACGCAAGGGGCGAAAGCCUGACGGAGCAACGCCGCGUGAGUGAUGAAGGUCUUCGGAUCGUAAAACUCUGUUAUUAGGGAAGAACAUAUGUGUAAGUAACUGUGCACAUCUUGACGGUACCUAAUCAGAAAGCCACGGCUAACUACGUG